rnacentral:tRNA from 1 species
GCCGAAGGUGGCGGAAUUGGUAGACGCGCUAGCUUCAGGUGUUAGUGUUCUUACGGACGUGGGGGUUCAAGUCCCCCCCCUCGCACCA